rnacentral:rRNA from 1 species
UACAGAGGUCUCAAGCGUUGUUCGGAUUCAUUGGGCGUAAAGGGUGCGUAGGCGGCGCGGUAAGUCGGGUGUGAAAUCUCGGAGCUUAACUCCGAAACUGCAUUCGAUACUGCCGUGCUUGAGGACUGGAGAGGAGACUGGAAUUUACGGUGUAGCGGUGAAAUUCGUAGAUAUCGGGAGGAACACCAGUGGCGAAGGCGGUUCUCUGGGACGGUACUGACGCUGAGACGCGAAAGCGUGGGGAGCGAACAGG